CCCUUAGAUGUUCUGGGCCGCACGCGCGCUACACUGACGAAUGCAACGAGCUUAUAACCUUGGCCGAAAGGUCUGGGUAAUCUCCAAAUUUCGUCGUGAUGGGGAUAGAUUAUUGCAAUUAUUAAUCUUCAACGAGGAAUGCCUAGUAAGCGCAAGUCAUCAGCUUGCGUUGAUUACGUCCCUGCCCUUUGUACACACCGCCCGUCGCUCCUACCGAUUGAAUGGUCCGGUGAAAUUUCGGGACUGAACUUUGGUGGUUUAUUCUGCCUUUGUUUGGGAACUUACUUAAACCUUAACAUUUAGAGGAAGGUGAANUCGUANCA
rnacentral:rRNA from 1 species